rnacentral:lncRNA from 1 species
GAUACACUUCUGAUGUUGUACCGGUACAAAAUCCCCAGAUUUCAGAUUUUGCAUCUUUUUCGAUUCUAUUUCGCACCGAUCAAUGCAAAAAUCUUUCUAACUCUUUUAAACUCACUUUUAACCCUUCCAACACAGUUGGAAAGCCAAUUGGAACUUGUCCAACUAUUUCUCUCGACAACUUUAACCAAUUUGGGUAAAGUUCGAUAAUCGCUCUCGAGGCUUCAAUAUGUUAUAUUCUCCACCCCUUAAAAUUAGUUUCGUCUGCGAAACUAUUUAAUCGAAAUCUAGAUCCGUACCUCAACUCAGUUCUUCGAAGAGAUGAGGAUGACACUCUUUCAUCACGUCCUCUAGCUCCCAAGUAUCAUCCCGAUCGUCGUGGUUGCUCCAAUGGAUUUUAACAUACGAAAUUUCACGGUUCCUUAGUUUUCUCACUUCUCGAUCGACGAUGAAUGCCUGGAACUCCUCGUAAGUCAUAUCCUUCUGAAGUUCCAUUGGCACAUACGAGAGAAUAUGCUCCGGAUCAUGAACAUACUUACGGAGAUUGGAUACAUGAAAUACAUCAUGCACUCCCGCAAGCCUCGAUGGUAAUGCUACUUUGUAAGCUAUCGCGCCGACUCGUUCCAAAACCUCAAAUGGUCCUACAUAUCGGGAACUUAGCUUUCCCCGGACACCGAACCGUUUAUGCAUCGGCGAUACCUUUAGAAAUACGCGGUCUCCAACCGCGAACUCUAUAUCCUUUCUUCGCUUGUACGCAUAACUCUUGUGCCGAGAUUGCGUCGUCGCAAGUCUUUGUCGGGCAAGACGAACUUUCUCCUCUGCCUCCCGAACUACCUCGGGGCCAAGUCUUUGUGAAGUCUCACAACCUCGUCGAGAUAUACUUGGGCUAGCUUGUCUUUCGACCAAGUAGUGUGGAUUGGCAAAAUGUGUGCCGAUUUUGUCAACCAGUCCACAACUACCCAAAUCGCAUCAUGUCCACCUUGGGAUCUAGGCAAACCGGUCACAAAGUCCAUUGUGAUAUUUUUUCAUUUCUAAACUGGCAUAGAUAGACUUUGCAACUUCCCCGCUGGGUAUCGCCGUUCCGCCUUUACUUGUUGGCACGUGAGAUAUUGUGCCACGAACUCCCCUAUGUCAUUUUUCAUGCCCGGCCACCAAUAAUGUAGCUUCCAGUCUUGAUACAUUUUGGUGCCGCCCAGGUGAAUGCUAUAGGGAGAUUGAUGCGCUUCUUGCAUAAUCGACCUCUGAAGAUCAUCAUUCUUGGGCACACACCAACGAUUUCUGAAUCGCAGUGCGCCGUCGAUCCCAAUGCCAAACCCAUCGGCACUAUCACUUUCAACUUUACCCCGCACCUUUUGGAGGUAUUCAUCGGAAACUUGCAAUUCUUUAAUUUUCUCCAAUAAGGUUGGUUGCACAAUCAAUGUGGCAAGUGUUGCCGGCACUCCCGGCGCCACAACCUCAAGACCGAACCGUUGCAUCUCCUUUUGCAACGCUGGUCGGGGUGUAUUGUUGUCGCCAAAUUCUCCGCUGACUUUCUACUUAGAGCAUCGGCCACGACAUUAGCCUUCCCAGGGUGGUAUAGAAUAGUGACGUCGUAGUCUUUUAGCAACUCCAACCACCGCCGUUGUCGCAUAUUUAAUUCUUUUUGGGUGAACAAGUAUUUGAGACUCUUGUGAUCGGUGUAGAUCUCACAGUGCUCACCAUACAAGUAAUGCCUCCACAACUUUAGCGCGAAGAUAACCACCGCUAGCUCAAGGUCGUGAAUCGGAUAGUUCUUUUCAUAACUCUUCAAUUGGCGCGAAGCAUAUGCUAUAACUUGGCCAUUUGCAUUGUCUGCGACCACGAAUGAUGUACCUCGCACGGUUAAUCUUAUUUUGAUUUUCCCGUGGGGUAGUAUUCAUGAUUCAGAUUAAUAUUUAAAUAUAUAUAUAUAUGGUUAUCAGGUAUUGUAGAUUCAUGGCUUCCAAUAAACGCAAGCUUCUAUUGUUAAUUACCCCUUCAAAGUGUUAGGGCACCUUCGAUUAAGAGACCUCUGUAAUGCUGAAAUAGAUUGAAAUUGAAUAAAAGGUGGAUUUUAUAACAUAAUCUAUUGUAUAGUUACAUGGCUUAACCAAGGGCAUACCCCCAGUGUACAUGAGUAUAAUAUGAUAUAAAAGAGAAAAUGAUUAGUUCAACGACAUAAUGGUCGAUUGAACUUAAUUUGGAUUACACCUAUAGUUUUAAAGGGUUAAUCCAAUUAGAUUUAACUAAAUCCUAGUUGUAUGUAUUAGGAUUUAGUUGGGUUUGAAUCGAUUAGACUCUAAUUGUAUCUGUCAGAGUCCAAUCGGAUUUGAGUCCACCAUAAGGUGCAGGAUGGCUAAAUCUACAUGUAUUAGAAUUAGCCGAUUUGAUAUAGAUUAACUCUAAUUAUACAUAUUAGAGUCUAAUUAAUUUAAUUAAACUCUAAGCAUGUAUAUUAGAGUCCAACCAUAUUUGAGUUCACUCUAAGGUGAAGGAUGGCUAAAUACUAAAUAUAUGUAUUAGGAUUAGCCAAAAUUAAUUUAAAUUAAACUCUAAUUAUACAUAUUAGAGUCUAACUUGGUUUCUUUUGUUUGAACUCUAAGUAUAUGUAUUAGAGUCCAAUCGAUUUAAUUAUUUUUACCUUAGUCAUAUAUACUAAGAUAAAAAGACGAUUUAAUCAAUUCUAAGCAUAUAUUUAGAAUUUGAUCGAAUUUGAAUAUGGUUGUGAUUUGACUCUAGUUUUAUAUGCUAGAGAAUCGGGUUGAAAUAGUUUGUUUCUAAGGACUUGGUAUAGAGAAGAGGUUGGAUUAGGUUGUGCAUAAUUGAGGUUAGGUUUUGACUUUGAUUUGGUUAUUAUGGUAUAGGUUUCAUGUAUAGCUUGUCAAAUUUGGAUUGUAUUGGAAUUAAAGAUUGGGUUCAGCUUGGAUCAAUCCGGAAUAAAUAAUUGGGUUGGGUUUAUAUUUAGUCUUGGACAUGAACUUAGGCCCAUUUGGAGAUAUAAUUAGGCUGGGUUUAUAUUUGGUCUUGGUCAUGAACUUGGGCCCUUUCAGAGAUAUAAUCUGGUUGGGUUAGGCUGUAAUAACUGAGAUUUUUGAUUUAUUGAUUAAACCCUUUUGUUUGACGAUGUUCUUGUGUGUAAUAUAAUUAUAAGUGUACUCGUCAAAUUUCAAGAGAAAACGAGUUAAAACGGAGAAGUUACGCGACCCGGAAGUUUGACUUAAGUGAAUAGUAACUCCGGUUUUCCGGAGAGGCCGCGGAGUAGAGUGGACUUUCGACGCGUAUCGGACUCCGAAUAUAGCCUUCCAAUAGCUCGUUUUCAACCGCUCGACUAUCCUGGACCCAAUGGCACUGACGGAAUUGGAAUUGGCUGCACGGAUUUCGAGAAAAAGGGGUUUAAUGGUUUUUACAUAAAGUUGUCUAUAUGUGGUUUUUGGUGGAACCUAGGAGGGAUGGUUUUGUUGCAAAUUGGGAACCUUUUCGGGCGAAACGAAAUGCUAGAUUCGAUGCCUCUGUCGUGCCGAUCGCGCUGGUGUGAUCCGAUCGGAUAUCCGACGGACGGAUCUUCGGGAAUCGCGAAAAGGCCGCGAAGGGGCUGAUUUGAGUAAUCGGAUUAUUCGCGAAAAGACCGGAUAUUUUAUGCGUCGAUUUGCGAGUUUUCGAACUCGGAGGGACUGUCGUACAUAAAGCACUCGCUGGCAGGGAGCUGGGUUUAAACCGUUCAGCCUUGAAGGGGGUUUUCCGCAAAGUCGCAGCACCUAUAUAUAGGUUGACCUAGGGUUUCUUGAGCUAACCCUAACCCUAAAACCCCCCCAGCUGACCCCAGCCGCCCCUGUCACCCCAGCACCUCCCUGGCCUGCCCGUGCUCACGUUCCGGCCGCCGCCGGGCAGCCCCGGCCGCCGGAAACCGCCUGCAGCCAGCCUUCCUCCUCUCCUCGGCCACCUCCCUCAUCCAUCUAGACCGAGGGCAUGUGGGAGGGUCUCCACCGCCUCUGGAAGUGAGCCCCGGCCUCCUUCCACCUUAGGCGUGCCUCUCCCCUAGCUCCGGCCAUCCCCCGACGUCGCCGGAGCCGCCGGAGGAAGCUGCAGCAAGCCGGGUCUGCCCAGACCCGAGCCAGGCCGAACUCAGGUUGCGGGCUUUGGGACCGCACUUCUCCUGCGGCCAAUUCCCCCCGUCGACCCCCGGCGACCUCCAGCAACCCGGCCGUCCCCGCGCCCCGCCGGCAGCCGCCAAGGUCUCCCGCCGCCGCUCGGGUCCUGUGCGGGCCGACCUUGGAGCCGCGCCACUCCCGAGCGCUGCCGUUGCCCUCUGAGGUGAGCACCACCUCCCCCUUGGUCCCAGGCACCGGAUCAUCGCCGCCCCGACCUCCCCCGGUCGCCGCCUCGCCGCCGGCAAGCUCCAGCCCGAGAGGAAGUGCGCGGGCCCGAUCUCCGCCGCCGCGCCACCGGCUGCUGCCCGCCGCCGUCCAGCACCUCCCCCGGACCUCCCCGACCUGCUGCUCCCAUCACCGGCCGGAGCGCCCGCCGCCCGAUCACCGGCGGCCAUCCCUAGCUCCCACAGCUCCGGUGAGUAGUUUACUUUGGUUCCAGCACUGCUGUUUUGCGUUCUGGUCACUUUUCCGGUGAUCCGAUGACUCCCUGGCACUUCGGGAGGUGAGCACGGUGAUCGUGGGCUCGUGCUGAACACGAUGCUCACCUCCAUUUAGGUUAACGGUGCCCUGGUUAGUGAGAAAAGGCUGUUUUCCACAGUAUGCGCACUGAUUCGCUGAGGUUCGCGUCGCUCGUGCGCGCGUGGUUGCUGCCGGCAGUGCUCCGAAAGGUGAGCACGGCCUCAGGCAUGCUGAAACCUUGCAGCAAGUGCGAUGGCAACCUCCAUAGAUCCCUGGUUUGCUGGUACGACCCGUUAGAGCCAUGAAAUCACAUAAAAUAAUGUGAUUUCAUGGGCCAUUAGGGAUCCUUUUGCGUUUCGCUUCGUUGUGGCUGCUGUUGGCAGCAGGUUAAGGCUUAAGGUAACCUCUGGACUGAUCGUCCAAGGCCCCAAGCCCUUGCGGAAAUCUAUCUGUCAUUUCCGGAGCGUUUUCGGUGAAAUCCGCCGAUAGAACGCGCGUUCGACUCGGAAUUCAUCCGACGGUGCCUCGUGGUUGACUGUAGCGUCGCUGAGCUUUGUUGGCUGGUCACCCGCGUCUUCUCGAGGGUUCGGAAACGACGGGUGAGCGACGGUGGAGUUUCGGUACGGUUUCCGGGAUUUCCGGCUGGUUCGGUAGUUGCGUUUGAGAAACCGAUUUCCGAGGGGUUAUGAUUUUGGGAUUUGUGUGAGAAUGGUCGUGUUAUUGUGUUUGUGGGUUAGACUCUAACCCGGUGGACCCUUCGUAGGUCCGGUCGCUUCGUCUCCGCCUUCGCGAGACCGUUUCAGCUUUAUACAGGUGGGUACUUCGAUCCGACGUCGGUACAGUGGUGCACGCUCGGUGAUAUUUCUUCUAUCCCUGUUCUUCUGUUGCUAUUUUCGUAUUAUAUAUUGAGCUUGCAUCCCUGUUGUUUCUAUUAUACUCUACUCAUAUGUUUCUAUGCUUAGUAUCAUGUGUAGGAGUAGAGUAGUUUAUCCAUAUGUGAUACCGGUGACCUGAUUGGUCGGUUCUCGUACUUUGUUUCGGUGACCUGAUUGGUUGGUUCUCGUACUUUGUUUCGGUGACCUGAUUGGUCGGUUCUCGUACUUCGUUUCGGUGACCUAGUUGAUCGGUGCUUUUAUCUUAUAUCUGUUGACCUGGUUGGUCGGUUGUUGCAUUAUGUAUUGGGUUGGUCUGUUUCUUGACUUCUGUCGUUCGAUGACCUUUGAGGUCGGUGUACCCUGAGGGGUAGGAUUGUCGGCUGGUGCUGACGGUAGUUCUGGACUAUAUCGAAUACACUCCUGUGACCUAUCGGUCGGUUCUUGCGUUCGUACUUUUAGUUGACAUCGAGCAGUAUCUACAUACUAUCUUUAUUUACUCUGCCUGGUUGUUCUAUGUGUAGUAUCCUGUAUAGGGGUAGAGUAGAUGGCAUUCGUAUAUACUAUACUUGUGACCUGGUUGGUCGGUUCUCCUAUUUGCAUCGGUGACCUGUUUGGUCGUUCGUUACUUUCCGUACAUUGACCUAUCUCGGUCGGUUCACGUUGUUACUUGAUGACCUACACGGUCGGUAUGCCCAGAGGGGCAGUGAUUGUCGGCUGAUUGCCGACGGUUGGCUAUUGAUCAUAUCCGCAUUGAUCGCCACAGCUCGAGUGCAUUUCACGUACACCAGCGGGUUGAUCCCCCGCAGGAGGGUGUUCUUUUCCGGAAAAGUGGUCGUACAUCCGACCCGUGAGCCCAGCGGUGUUCUCUUUGUGCUAGGGUUACAUGCCAGGUGUGAGCAGGUAGUGGCUUUUGCCUGAGGUCCUUAGACCGACACGGUGGUUUAGAUUGGGUACUUUUGGACUUCUCGUCCGGUUGACGCAUAUAGCUAUAGUAGCGGUUAUUGCAUAUAUACUUCUAGUUCUUUCUUUACAGUUGUCUUGCUACUAUAGUUUUGAUAUCCUUGUAUGCUUGCACUUGUACAUUACAGUAGCGGUAGUUGUGUUUUCAUAUAUAUAUCUCAUUCGUUCAUUAUCGUUGCUACUGUAUUUUACUUACCCAUACUGUUGUUUAUCUCUUCCUGAUCUGGUGAGUACUCCUCGCCUUCUUCGGCUUGCGGUACCCACUGGGAGGGGAGACAUGUUUACAUGUUCUCACCUCCCCCACUAUUUUUCAGGUAUUGCAGACGUUGAGUUUUGGGGACUAGCCGUGAGGUACGUUCGUAGCGGUCGAUAGAGCUUCCGACCCAGAUUAUCGGUUUAGUUUUAUCCCUACUAUUCUGUUGUUAUAGCUUAGUCAGUUUAUAUGGUUCAGUAUUUUUAUUGCAUUGGAAUAUGUGGACUUUCAUGAAUGUAAUAAAAGAAUUUCUGGAUUUGGUAAAAUAAAAGGUUUUCUACCCCUCGUGGUAGCUUUUAUAAAAGAUAAAAGUUUUCGCGUAUGGAACAGUUUUCAAAAGAUUUUUCGUGGACUUUUGUUUAAACAUUGAAUGUAAAACUACGGUGUGAAUGGUGAAUGUAUGAAUGUAUAGCUAUCUGUAUAUUCAUUUAGUUGUGGUUGUAUACUGUUUGUACUUUUGUACUUGUGCGACGCCGUGCAAAUACAGGGGAGACUCUGUCCGUGUAAACAGUGGAUUCCCUGUAUUUGUGGCGGAUCUGGCAUACUCUGGGGUCAGGUUUAAAAACCAAAAAAAAAAAAAAAAAUUUAAACGCUUUUCCACUGUGUUUCAAACAAAAAGGGGACCCCGGGGCGUGACAUAGGCUUAGAUGUGUAGGUUGACCAUUGGAUUUAGACUCGGGCUGAGUUCA